GUUAUGUCCUCCAACAUGCCAUCACGCAUUAUCCAAGUACCUAAAUAAGCAUUAAGAUAACGAAAUAAGCAUAUUAAGCAUAUCAUAUUACAAUAACAACCUAAACUGCUGAUGCUGAGUCGGAAUAAUUGAAAUCAACAUCCUGCAGUUCCCGGUAGACGCCUCACGCCACCGGACCGAUAAUCAGCCCUAUAUAAGGAGCCCGUGAUGAUGGUAUGGACACAUUAGAUUUUAGGCUUCCCACUUCGAAGCACCUUAGGCUAGUACCGUUCAAUCGCUGAACACUUAGUUGUAAUUUUGUACUUUAUAACUUCAUUAAAAAUCAUUGAAAGUUUAAA